CACUUAACUAGAUUAGCAUUUUUAACGUUACAUGCAAACUUCUCUUAUGUUUACUUCAAUGUGGAAUAUUUAUGUGAAAGAUCUAUGAUUUUUUGCUCGGGGAUUUAUCAGCGGUACACAAGCAUGUUUCCAGGGCAAUUGCAGGCAUUUCAGGGGGAAAUCGUUAUUUUCUUAAAAACCGGAAUUUGUCUGUGUUCUUUAUCUAAAAGCUCUGCAGCUGAAAAUGUGGAGCUGAAGCGUCGCCUUCAUCGACUUCGGGAGCACCGAGAUGAGCUACAGAGAGAGCUGAAUGUUUUCAAAGAGAAAAAGAAGGAGGAAGAUUUACUCCGGAACUAUGUCACAACUAGAGAUGUGUAUGUGCAGACUGACCCUCGUCCCUGGCACACCAAUAGGCUCGGUCAGAAGCUGGAUGAGAAAAAACACACAGAUCAAGAGUCACAGAAGCUGAACAAGAUGCUGACGAUGCACUCUCAGCUGAUGAAGAGGUAUGAGAAGGAGGUGAAGCAGAACAUGGCUCACUUGGAGAGCAUCGCUGACCUCAAUGUGAGGUUGAUGGAAAUGGAGAACAGGGCAAAAGAGGAGAAAGAAAAGGCCUUGAGACUCGAGGCCGAACUUGCUGGAGCCAGGGGUCACUCUGGGUCAAGGACAUCAGACUCUGAACUGCGUGAUAUUGUCGAGAGAGGAACAAACUGAAGAAAGAGAACAAGAAACUGAGGGAAGAGCUGGACGGUAUUGACGAGAGUUUCUUUGAUGAGAUCGAUGUGUGACAUAAAGUUUGGAUAUUCAGCAGUCAGCCCAGCUCAACAAGGAGUUUGAGAAGGCUCUUCAUAAAUUGUGUCAGAAGUUUGGCGUUCCCUACCCUCAUCCCGAGAAAGCCAUACUCAUGUCGAAAAAGAAAUGAUCCUUCAGGAUUUUUACCUCACCUGAAUGUGGAUGCUCAGUUGUCUGUCCGUCCAAACUGUUCGUAUUUUGUGAUGCAAUCUCUUAUGAAACCACACGCCUGUUGAGCUGAAACUUUUAUGAUCCCAGCUGUGGUGUGAAAAGCUGCUCACAUAAUUGUCCUCCAUAUGCAGACAUGAUUGCCAUUGUUUAGUCAUAUUUCAGGUGAGCUUCAGAACCUUGAGCCUCAUUUUUUAUGAAUUUACAGUCAAUGUACAUUUGUUAUAUCGUUUCACCAAUAAACUUUAUAUUGUCCAAAAA